rnacentral:lncRNA from 1 species
UCAGAUAAAAAUCUCACCUAUCAACCGGAAAUCGCCAAAAUACUAACUUUGCCAAUUCAAGUCUGAUUCUACACUGGACCUCCAAAAUCACUUCCGAUCACGCACCUAAGUCAAAAAUCAUCCUCCGAAGCUAAACAAAUCACCGGAAAUCACAUCUGAGCUCUCUAACGUAUAAGUCAACAUCUGGUUGUCUUUUUUCAAAACAAGCCUUCCUUAAAUAGACAAAGUGUCUCAUCUCCUAUCAAAACAAAUCCAAUAACACUCCAAAUACCGAUAGCGAAA